UUCGGACAGACUAACAAGGAUUCCCCUAGUAACUGCGAGUGAAGCGGGAAAAGCUCAAAUUUAAAAUCUGGCGGUCUUUGGCUGUCCGAGUUGUAAUCUAGAGAAGUGUUAUCCGCGCUGGACCGUGUACAAGUCUCCUGGAAUGGAGCGUCAUAGAGGGUGAGAAUCCCGUCUUUGACACGGACUGCCAGGGCUUUGUGAUGCGCUCUCAAAGAGUCGAGUUGUUUGGGAAUGCAGCUCAAAAUGGGAGGUAAAUUCCUUCUAAAGCUAAAUAUUGGCGAGAGACCGAUAGCGAACAAGUACCGUGAGGGAAAGAUGAAAAGAACUUUGGAAAGAGAGUUAAACAGUACGUGAAAUUGCUGAAAGGGAAACGCUUGAAGUCAGUCGCGUUGGCCGGGAUUCAACCUUGCUUUUGCUGGGCGUACUUCCCGGUUAAUGGGUCAGCAUCAAUUUUGACCGUUGGAUAAAGGUUAGGGGAAUGUGGCAUCUUCGGAUGUGUUAUAGCCCUUGGUCGCAUACAACGGUUGGGAUUGAGGAACUCAGCACGCCGCAAGGCCGGGUAUUUAUACCACGUUCGUGCUUAGGAUGCUGGCAUAAUGGCUUUAAUCGACCCGUCUUGAAACACGGACCAAGGAGUCUAACAUGCCUGCGAGUGUUUGGGUGGAAAACCCGAGCGCGUAAUGAAAGUGAAAGUUGAGAUCCCUGUCGUGGGGAGCAUCGACGCCCGGACCAGACCUUUUGUGACGGCUCCGCGGUAGAGCAUGUAUGUUGGGACCCGAAAGAUGGUGAACUAUGCCUGAAUAGGGUGAAGCCAGAGGAAACUCUGGUGGAGGCUCGUAGCGAUUCUGACGUGCAAAUCGAUCGUCAAAUUUGGGUAUAGGGGCGAAAGACUAAUCGAACCAUCUAGUAGCUGGUUCCUGCG
rnacentral:rRNA from 1 species